rnacentral:rRNA from 1 species
CAGCAGCCGCGGGAAUACGUAGGGUGCAAGUGCUAAUCGGAAUUACUGGGCGUAAAGCGUGCGCAGGCGGUUAUAUAAGUCAGAUGUGAAAGCCCACGGCUCAACCGUGGAGGGUCAUUGGAAGCUGUUAAACUUGAGUGCAGGAGAGAAAAGUGGAAUUCCUAGUGUAGCGGUGAAAUGCGUAGAGAUUAGGAGGAACACCAGUGGCGAAGGCGGCUUUUUGGCCUGUAACUGACACUGAGGCGCGAAAGCGUGGGGAGCAAACAGGAUUAGAUACCCGAGUAGUCCCUGUCUCUUAUAA